UCCCAGGUGGUUCCAGUAGCUAAGACUCUGCACUCCCAAUGCAGGGGGCCCAGGUUCAAUCCCUGGCCAGGGAA
rfam:TPA: Bos taurus chromosome 11, whole genome shotgun sequence.